GUGGCUACACUCCAGAUCAUGUCUAGUACAUUUCUUCUUCUUCGAUGAAGGCAAGUGAAUGUAGCGGUGGUUGCUUCCGUUCUGACCUGUUAUUUCUAUUGCCUACACUCUAAUAUUCAGAAGUAUCAGAUUCUUUCAUAAUUGGACUCUAUGGUGAUGCUUUACUUGCUUGCAUUAUACUGAUGCUCAAUCAUAUAUUGAUGAUGAUUAUGAUUUGAGUAUGACUCACGAGAUUAAUUCAUAUAUCUGAAGGUAAAUGAAGUAUUGUUUGAGGUUGGUAUUGUAUCUGAAGAUAAAUGAAGUAUUAUUUGAGGUUUGUGUUGUAUCUGAAGGAAGUGAAGUUUAUUGAUAAAUGUAGCAUGCCAUAUACAUUGCAUGACUCAUUUGCAUAUGAAGUUUUGUCGUGACCUAUGGUCCGACCGUACCGGUACAACUUAGCAUCGUAUGUUGCCCGAGAAGGGGUACGAUGUGGCUUCAUACCCUUAGAGGUAUGAAGGCAGAGGACAUAUGCAUUGCAUUCAUAUGCAUUCAUUGAAGUGAUAUUUGCAGAUGAUGUGGUUUUAUACCCCCAGAGGUAUGAAGAUAGAGUACCUACGCAUUGCAUUCAUAUGCAUUCAUUGAAGUGAUAUUUGCAGAUGAUGUGGUUUUAUACCCCCAGAGGUAUGAAGAUAGAGUACCUACACAUUGCAUUCCUAUGCAUACAUUGAAGUGAUAUUUGCAGGUAUUGUUGACGCAGGGAAGUGUUAUAGAACCUAUUGUGGUUGUUCGAGGAAAUGAGAUGGUAUUGGUUAUAGUGGGACUACUGUGUUCUAUAUCUACAAGUAUUUCUGAUUUUUUAUUGUGUCUCUUUUAAAAUGUUGAUGAAUUCAAUUUGUGGUUUAAAUAUCUCGUCAGAACAAUUAGCUUGCUGAGAUGUUUCAUCUCACUCUUGCAUUACUCAAUGCAGGUGCUUGUUGCUCAUCAAGGGGAGUGGGAAGUAGCAGCACAUCCACCUUCACUCUCAUAAUAAUGCUGCCCAGACACAGCCAUGAUUUAAUUAGAAACUUCUUGUCAAAGGAUGUUUGUUUUUAACUAGUCGUGCGCACUGAUUAAUUCAGUUCAUUGUUGUUAUGGUUGUCUUCCCAUUGCUAGCAGAUUAUUAAUGUCUUAUAUGUUUUCUUAUCAUGAUAUCUAUUUAUACUUUGUUGCUUCCCCCGUUUAUGCAAUUUUCAAAGGAGAUGCUGUCGAAAUUUUAUAUAUGAAUGUUAGAUGUGUAGUUUAGUAGCAUUCUGAGGUGUUUGUGGAUCCCGGGGUGUUACAGUUGGUAUCAGAGGAUAGGCUUUAGAUUCUUGGCAAUUUGAAGAUAAAUUUGACACACUUGCACAUAUAGGAAGGGUAUGGGUUCAAAUAUCUUUGAUAUAUAUUAAUGUCUUUGGAGUGCAGAUGACAAUAGUUUCACCCCUCCCUAUUCCUUUACGGUGAUGUGGUAAGUUAUGGCUUAAUGCUUGAUAUAAUUUAUUUCUGAAAUUUUGAUAUUGUUUUAUUAAUGCGGUAGAUAUCGCUGGUCAUUGGUGAGAAUGAAGUUGUUAUUAUGCUUGUGAUAUACAAGUAUGCCUAUGUCGUUUUCACCAUGUUUUUCAUGGUUGAGUUUUAUUACAAUAAUAUUGUUAUAUAUGCUUGAUUGUGGAUGUUUCUAAGAGGAGUGUGAAUUGCGUGUUUUGGGGUACAAGGUAAUCAUCAAUUUGAAUUUAAGUUGUUGAGCGGUUGGUGGAUAGCUCCAACUAUCAUUGCAAAGAAUGAUUGUUUAUGUUGAGAAACCAGUUUUGAAAGAAAUGAAUAUUGGUACUUUAUAUGGAUUUUUGGGGGAAGUCUUUUCAUAGCCAGAAUGGCUUACAUGUCUCUCUCAUAUUGUGUGUUCUAGUUGCCACAAAGCCUAGAUGUGGUUUAAAGUGGUUGCCUAUUAGUCAUACUAAUUGUAGAAUAAAUCUUUGAUUCUCUUGAUCCAUUGAUUAUGUAUUGAUACAUUGAGGAUCUGAUGGUUCCCUUUUCGAUGCAUGCUUGUGGAGCCAUUUUUUUAGACCACCUAUCUAUUGGUUUGAAGGAUGUCCUUGCCUAGCCUAGAGUUGGUUGGGUGUGGCUAGUCACCUACUCCUAGAUGAUGUGGUGUUUACAUCAGCUUAAUAUGUUUGUCAAAUGUGUGAAGGAUUAGGGGUUAUUAUUAUUGACUUUGUAUGUCUGGUACUUUGAGUGCAUCGUAUGAUAGAAUGAAAUGUAAGUUUCUGAACUACAGUAGAUGAAGACUUAUAUUAUGUGUAGGUUAUCCUUACUAGUUGGAUAUUUUUCUUAGUUGAGAUGUUGAAUGAAGUAUAGUGACAUGGGUUAAGCAAGUAUUGUGUUGUUGUUGGGCUAUCAGUGCUCUAUGUAGAGUUUUUGGCAUUUCUUCGAUGAACUAUGCCGCACAAGAUGUUAUUGGCUUCUUUUGGCUUUAUUGCUCCAUUAGUUCUAUAGAUUUUCUCCCUUUUGGUGGGGUGUAAGGAAUGUUAGAUUACAUGAUUAUCUUUUCAUGAUGGCAAGAAUAAGGUUUAGAAAGAUUAGGAGUUUUGUUCCAAUAGAACUACUUGUUUCAUGGUGCUUUAAGGUGAGGUGUUUGAUCUUCUUAUACAUUCGUCGGGUGUAGAUGUUUCACCAUUUAAUUAAAAUUGAUGGUUGAAGUUGGUAAGGGUUGUGCUUGGUCCAUAUUACCCCUUCAUAAAAGAGUGUUGUCUUAAGACAUUGAUGUUGAUGUAUAGCUGCAUCCAAAUUUGAUGGUGUGAAAUUGUAGUGUUUAUUGCAACUAUGACAUGCUUUGAGCUUCAUUACAUGUUGUUUCAUGCUUGAUGUCAGGUCGUGUAGUUUCCUUAGACAAUUAGUCCAAGGUAGAAGUUCUUGUGUUAAUUAAGACCAAUAAUGGAUCCAUGUUUUGAAUUGUGGUGCUAUAUGGGGUACCUUGGGUGUUUUGCUUGGAGUGGCCGAAUUCGAGGUCGAAUUCUUUUUAAGGGGGGUAGAGUGUAAUAUCCCAAAAAAAUGUUGACCAAAAGUUAAUCUCUGGUGCGUGGAUGAGGUAAAGGGUUGUGGGCCAUUGGAUGCAAAGAUAGAAGUCAUCUGAGGCGUCGUUUCUUUCUCCCACAAAAACCCUAGGUGGCCACCCCUUUUUUUUCCCUUCACCCCCCCCCCCCUCUUGGCCGCCACCCCCUUUUCUCCCCCUUGGCUGGACGCCCCCUCCCCCUAUGGCAGCCAUCAUCCAUUGCUUCCUCCCCCAAGAUCUCCCCCUACGCAGCAAGGAUCGAGAAAAGGAGGGGCACGUUGAAUUGAAGAGGAAGAGAGGAUCAAGGAGAUGUUCUUCCCCAUCUCUUCUUGAAGAUUUCUUGGGGAAACCCUAGGUAUGGAUGAGAUCCUUGUUCCUCCCUGUAAUUAUAGGCUUUUGGAGGUUGUGGAUCAUGGGAAUUAAAGGAUUAGAGGUUGGAUUUGAUGUGGGGUUAGGUUUUGAUCCCGAAUUUAGUUUUCUGCAGAAUGGCAGAUUCGACAGUUUCUGUUCAUGUCAGUUUUCCGUGGUCUUAGUGGCCUCAAAAAAAUGAAAAGUCUAUGUAUGAGUCGUAGAUGAUUUGUAGAUCUUUCCGUGGCCGCGAAGAACACCUCAAUCGGACAUCCGACCAGAAAGUUAUUGCAGUUUUACUAUAGCAGUUUUUCAGUCUCAUAAUUCUGUGCAGAAUCUGUUCUCUUAAGAUUUAGGAAAUUUUAUCAACAGAAUUAAACUGUGGGUUGGUAAAAGAAGUUGUAGAUAAUUUCAUAAGCUUUCCAGAUUGUUAAAGAGUGCAUUCAUAUGAUUUGUGAAACUCCAGUUAUGUUUGUUUUACUGUGGCUGUUUCUGUUUACCUGACAAAAAUGAGUGGGUCUGUUCACUGGUGGGUUUCAUCUAGUAAAUGGCCGAAUUGGCUCUUCCAACUAUAGAGACUUUUGUAGAGGGAUAAAAGUUCUUACUUCCAGCAGAAUUUCAUAAUUUUUGGUUCAGUAGUUUGGGAGAUAUCGAAUUUUAACGUUAACCAUACUGCUGUCUAAAACAGAUUCAGUCAGUUAUCUUGUCAGAUGUUUUAGAACUUGUAGAUGGCAGAAUUUAAUUAUCUAUUGAAUACUGAAGUUGUAGAGUAUUUUGUGUAGAUACUCCUAGAGUAUUUGUUUGAUAUCACCGCUGUUUUAAUUUUAAAGAUACAAAAUUAACAAACAGCGUUGCUGCUGUAUGGCAUGUGGUUCAGGGUGGGAGUCUUUCCACUGGGUCUUGGUUUCAAGUGUAGGAGUGUUUUGUUGAUUGAUGGCAAAUGUUUGUGAAAUAUUUGUACUAAGUUUUAUGCCCACUAGCAGGUGGCUACACUCCAGAUCAUGUCUAGUACAUUUCUUCUUCUUCGAUGAAGGCAAGUGAAUGUAGCGGUGGUUGCUUCCGUUCUGACCUGUUAUUUCUAUUGCCUACACUCUAAUAUUCAGAAGUAUCAGAUUCUUUCAUAAUUGGACUCUAUGGUGAUGCUUUACUUGCUUGCAUUAUACUGAUGCUCAAUCAUAUAUUGAUGAUGAUUAUGAUUUGAGUAUGACUCACGAGAUUAAUUCAUAUAUCUGAAGGUAAAUGAAGUAUUGUUUGAGGUUGGUAUUGUAUCUGAAGAUAAAUGAAGUAUUAUUUGAGGUUUGUGUUGUAUCUGAAGGAAGUGAAGUUUAUUGAUAAAUGUAGCAUGCCAUAUACAUUGCAUGACUCAUUUGCAUAUGAAGUUUUGUCGUGACCUAUGGUCCGACCGUACCGGUACAACUUAGCAUCGUAUGUUGCCCGAGAAGGGGUACGAUGUGGCUUCAUACCCUUAGAGGUAUGAAGGCAGAGGACAUAUGCAUUGCAUUCAUAUGCAUUCAUUGAAGUGAUAUUUGCAGAUGAUGUGGUUUUAUACCCCCAGAGGUAUGAAGAUAGAGUACCUACGCAUUGCAUUCAUAUGCAUUCAUUGAAGUGAUAUUUGCAGAUGAUGUGGUUUUAUACCCCCAGAGGUAUGAAGAUAGAGUACCUACACAUUGCAUUCCUAUGCAUACAUUGAAGUGAUAUUUGCAGGUAUUGUUGACGCAGGGAAGUGUUAUAGAACCUAUUGUGGUUGUUCGAGGAAAUGAGAUGGUAUUGGUUAUAGUGGGACUACUGUGUUCUAUAUCUACAAGUAUUUCUGAUUUUUUAUUGUGUCUCUUUUAAAAUGUUGAUGAAUUCAAUUUGUGGUUUAAAUAUCUCGUCAGAACAAUUAGCUUGCUGAGAUGUUUCAUCUCACUCUUGCAUUACUCAAUGCAGGUGCUUGUUGCUCAUCAAGGGGAGUGGGAAGUAGCAGCACAUCCACCUUCACUCUCAUAAUAAUGCUGCCCAGACACAGCCAUGAUUUAAUUAGAAACUUCUUGUCAAAGGAUGUUUGUUUUUAACUAGUCGUGCGCACUGAUUAAUUCAGUUCAUUGUUGUUAUGGUUGUCUUCCCAUUGCUAGCAGAUUAUUAAUGUCUUAUAUGUUUUCUUAUCAUGAUAUCUAUUUAUACUUUGUUGCUUCCCCCGUUUAUGCAAUUUUCAAAGGAGAUGCUGUCGAAAUUUUAUAUAUGAAUGUUAGAUGUGUAGUUUAGUAGCAUUCUGGGGUGUUUGUGGAUCCCGGGGUGUUACACCUUGGGUGCAGGCAUCCUUGUUAGCUGAAGUAUCAUGUUGUUUUGUUUAAAAGAUCAUCACAAAAACAUCUAUGUAGUACAUAUAAAGUGAAGUAUAGUUGCAAUAGGUCAGUUUGAAAUUCAUCCUAGAUGUCAAGGAAGCAAAAUAGACAAGCAAGCAAUCUGACACUAUUCAUCAUGUGACAGUGACACUUGUAUUUUUUUAUUUUAAUCUCAGCAUAAAAGAUGAAUUCUAAACUAAAUUGUUAUGGCUACACAUAACUUAUGUGAUGACUUUUUGAAAUAUUGUAACAUGCUAUUUUAGCUAAAGAGGACCAUCACACCCCUGGAUGCCAAAACAUUGGUUUAAUCAUAAAUUUGAUUCCAAAAAGAUCAUAUUACUGAUUCUCUACUAUUAUUGUUUGGUUAGAGCUAUGCAUACAAGUGGUGGAGGCCUGGUGGUAAAUUGUUUAUCAAGAUCGCUAGAGCAGUUAAAUUUACUCCUAUUAUCUUCUGGGAUAAAUUUGGCACACCAUUCCCCUUCCCAAAACCCAUGCAUGUGGUCGUGGGUAAACCAAUUGAAGUCAAUAAGAUUCCCCAUCCUACAAUUGACGAGGACCUCUUUGAGAAGUACAAGGCGAAAGCUGGAUAUCUUGGCCUUCAUCUAAGAGUUCUAUGACAUUCCAUAGUGUCACACCCGGUUUUAAAAGGCAAACCGAAUGCGAACCAUGUACGUGCCAGGAUCAGUUAUUCACGUACACAGCAGUUACAUAAUAUGGACAUCAUCACACAGUGCUCAAAAUAGUAUUAAUAAGGGAAAUAGUCGAUUACAUCAUAC